rfam:Apaloderma vittatum contig80087, whole genome shotgun sequence.
GGACGGUUAGCUCAGUGGUUUGAGCAGCGGUGCUGGCAACAAGGACCAACACCGAGGUCGCGGGUUCGAUUCCCGCUCGGUCCC